rnacentral:rRNA from 1 species
UGGGGAAUAUUGGACAAUGGGCGAAAGCCUGAUCCAGCCAUGCCGCGUGUGUGAAGAAGGUCUUCGGAUUGUAAAGCACUUUAAGUUGGGAGGAAGAGCAGUUACCUAAUACGUGAUUGUUUUGACGUUACCGACAGAAUAAGCACCGGCUAACUACGUGCCAGCAGCCGCGGUAAUACGUAGGGUGCAAGCGUUAAUCGGAAUUACUGGGCGUAAAGCGUGCGCAGGCGGUUUUGUAAGUCUGAUGUGAAAUCCCCGGGCUCAACCUGGGAACUGCAUUCAAAACUGACUGACUAGAGUAUGGUAGAGGGUGGUGGAAUUUCCUGUGUAGCGGUGAAAUGCGUAGAUAUAGGAAGGAACACCAGUGGCGAAGGCGACCACCUGGACUGAUACUGACACUGAGGUGCGAAAGCGUGGGGAGCAAACA